GCGCCCGUAGCUCAACGGUAGAGCAGCAGGCUCAUAACCUGUCAGGUUGUUGGUUCGAAUCCAUCCGGGCGUA
rnacentral:tRNA from 1 species